UAGCGGAACUCCUACGGGAGGCAGCAGUGGGGAAUUUUGGACAAUGGGGGCAACCCUGAUCCGGCAAUGCCGCGUGAGUGAAGAAGGCCUUCGGGUUGUAAAGCUCUUUUGUCAGGGAAGAAACGGUAGUAGCUAAUAUCUAUUACUAAUGACGGUACCUGAAGAAUAAGCGCCGGCUAACUACGUGCCAGCAGCCGCGGUAAUACGUAGGGUGCAAGCGUUAAUCGGAAUUACUUGGCGUAAAGCGUGCGCAGGCGGUUGUGUAAGUCAGAUGUGAAAUCCCCGGGCUCAACCUGGGAAUUGCAUUAGAGACUGCACGGAUAGAGUGUGUCAGAGGGGGGUAGAAUUCCACAUGUAGCAGUGAAAUGCGUAGAUAUGUGGAGGAAUACCGGUGGCGGAGGCAGCCCCCUGGGAUAGCACUGACGCUCAUGCACGAAAGCGUGGGGAGCAAACAAGAUUAGAAACCCUAGUAGUCCACUUAUG
rnacentral:rRNA from 1 species